rnacentral:tRNA from 1 species
GCUCAGUUGGUUAAGUGUCUGUUGGUUAAGUGUCUGACUUCGGCUCAGGUCAUGAUCUCACAGUUCGUGGGUUCAAGCUCCACACUGGGCU